UACGUAGGGUGCAAGCGUUUGUCCGGAAUUAUUGGGCGUAAAGAGCUCGUAGGCGGUUUGUUGCGUCGGCUGUGAAAUCCCGAGGCUCAACCUCGGGUCUGCAGUCGAUACGAGCAAACUAGAGUGUUGCAGGGGAGACUGGAAUUCCUGGUGUAGCGGUGAAAUGCGCAGAUAUCAGGAGGAACACCGGUGGCGAAGGCGGGGUCUCUGGGCAACAACUGACGCUGAGGAGCGAAAGCGUGGGGGAGCGAACAGG
rnacentral:rRNA from 1 species